AAAGGAGCAAGUUGCAUUUAAUUACAACAAAAAGGGUUUCAGCCAGUUACAAGCCAGCUUACCCCAAAUGUUAUCCCUUACUAAAAGACAGACUUACUGACACCACAUUAAGUUGUAUCAUUCCUUUCAUAAAGCAGGACACCCAGACACUUCCUGAAUGGUUUUUUAAGUCUUGUAUCACCCUAGCGAUUACAGUCUAUCUUGCUGUGGUGGUAUAGAAAGUCAAAAAGCAACUAUUCCCACUUCUUGCAUAUAAGGAAAAAUAAAUAUAAACAAGGAUUAAAGUAUCAUGAGAGAGCAUGAACAGAUCUCCACCUCAGUACAUAUUUAUGUCCAAUGGAAGGUGAUCAAUUAGAAAAAAUAAACUUAGAACCAACAAAACAAACAAAUCCAAAACAACAAACAAACAGUGGAACAGACACAAAGAUAUUACAGUGUGAAUGCCAGCUGCUUACAAGCAGGGAAUGUGCAUAGCAAUGUUCACUAUUUUGCUUGUAUGGCUUAUGCAAAAGAGACAGGAAAAACUGCACUAAGAGACCUUAAUGGUUUAAUUUUAACCUAACAAGUAUAGUAAUACCACUGCCAAGUGACAGACAAACUUCACUCCCCUUGGAGCAACUAAGUCUUCACCUACGCCACUGUCUUGGCUCUAUUCUAAAGAGCAUGAUUAUAGGUGAACACAGAUCUCGUGUGGAAGGAGGAAACCAAAUUCAUUCCUCCCUGAGGACAAGUAUCCAUCCUUGUAGGCCCAACAGAAGACAAUUUUCUUUUUACAGCAAAACACUAACAAGGAAUCUUUCCUGUUCUCAACUUUUACAUGAGUAAGAUGAUUAUUUUAAGGAGCAAGAAGCUUGAACUAUUUUUCAGUCUCCUCUCUUUUCUUUGCCAUGUGGCACAGGCUACUCAUUUUGCAUUUGGGACUUCCAGCUGGUAUUAAGUCCUCUCAGAUACACCUUGAACUAGUCUGUCCUCUGUUUGAUCUGGGCAGCCACACAAAAGAUGCCUUUCACCUGAACAUCUUAGGCACUGAAUGCUGUGAUCUACUGAGGACACUGAUACAUUAAAGUGCUUUUUUGUAAAACCUGAAUGCUUUAAGGGUCACUCAUCCUACAUCCCAAACUGGACGAACAGAUAACAUACUAUUUUUAAUGCCCAACUACAAUCAACUUCACUUCCGAAACUACAUUAAUACAAAUAGCAAUGCAAGUUACAACAGAGUUAACAGCUUUGCACAGAACAUUCAAGUUGAUGGAAGAGAAAUGAAUGAUUAGGAGAGACCCUUUACAGUUAAAACACUAGGCAGCAGAAAACAUUUCACUAGCACCCAGCAUUUCUGUUGGCUAGUAACAAGAUAUGGCACAUGGCUUUCUAUGCUGGAACUCUCUAAGCAAUUUCUAGGGGACAGCACUGAGGCUGAAAGAGUAUUAGCAGGGCCCCUAAAAUGCAAGUCAGUUUGCCACCUUCCGGACAAGAAGCUAGUAUUAUUCCAACCCUGUGCUGAAAGAGCUGCCAAAGAGCAGCUGUUCUUCAGUUCCCUGUUCAGACAUAUAGGAAACCUGAUCUGAAAACCUGAAAUACUCAUUACCUGAAGCAUGAACAAAAUGGAGGUAGACAGGGCAAAAAUGAAUCAUUGUUGAUGAGAAAACCCGAAGGACAGCUGACAUGUUUUGCCUUGUAUGAUAAGGUGUAUUUGCCUUGAAAUUAAGAAUGUGAAAAAUUCAGUCUGUAUUUAAAGACAUGUGCAAUGCCCACACUGUGUAAACAUACUGCAACAUAAUCUCUUAAGGACAAGCAUACUGCAAAAAUAAUCUUGCAUAAAGGAUAGAUAUGGAUAAAAUCCAUAAAGACAGAACGAAGAGCUUGUAUAAUAAAACAUAAAAUAUCUGAUAAAAUACCUUCUUUCUGAUCAUUAAGAGCAGAAGUAAAAGAAGCCCUAAACACUCUGCUGCAAAUUCAGAAAAAGGAGCAAACAGAGCCUACAACAGCUCCCAGAUUUCCCCUGCUUGGAUUCACGUUUCUGAGGGUUUAGCAAAGACAACUCCAGUUCUAGAAGAGAGAACGGAGGUUUCAAAGUACUGGGACAAAGUAAAUCGACUUUCCCAAGUGAAAGAUUUUUCACCUCAAUUUCACAUCAUGUAAUUAGUUCCAUAAUCUUAAUCACACCUAGAUUAUUUUAGUUUAAAUGAGGGGCUAGCCAAGUCUACUCACCCUAUGAAUUCUUUCAUGGUCAUAAGAGAUGUGUAAGAUAAAUCAGACAAAAGAAAACAUCAAAUUAACUGUCCAGGUUAUGAGAGAGUAUGAGAGAGUAUGGUGGGGCUUGCUUUUUGUUUUAACUAUUUUUACCACCUUGGUUUCUAUUGCGAUCAAUCUUCUCACAUAUCCAACUUCUACCAUUUAAUACGUCAUAACCACUAUUAAAAAAAAAGUCAAGA
rnacentral:lncRNA from 1 species